rnacentral:rRNA from 1 species
AACGAACGCUGGCGGCAUGCCUAACACAUGCCAGUCGAACGAGACCUUCGGGUCUAGUGGCGCACGGGUGCGUAACGCGUGAGAACCUGCCCUUAGGUUCGGAAUAACUCCCCGAAAGGGGUGCUAAUACCGGAUAAUGUCUUCGGACCAAAGAUUUAUCGCCUUUGGAUGGGCCCGCGUUGGAUUAGCUAGUUGGUAGGGUAAAAGCCUACCAAGGCGACGAUCCAUAGCUGGUCUGAGAGGAUGAUCAGCCACACUGGGACUGAGACACGGCCCAGACUCCUACGGGAGGCAGCAGUGGGGAAUAUUGGACAAUGGGCGAAAGCCUGAUCCAGCAAUGCCGCGUGAGUGAUGAAGGCCUUAGGGUUGUAAAGCUCUUUUACCCGGGAUGAUAAUGACAGUACCGGGAGAAUAAGCUCCGGCUAACUCCGUG